rnacentral:rRNA from 1 species
AAGUCGGCUUUCCUUCGGGGACUGAUGCACAGGUGCUGCAUGGCUGUCGUCAGCUCGGUGCCGUGAGGUGUUGGGUUAAGUCCCGCAACGAGCGCAACCCUCGUCCUUAGUUGCCAUCAGGUAAUGCUGGGAACUCUAAGGAGACUGCCGGUGAUAAGCUGGAGGAAGGUGGGGAUGACGUCAAGUCCUCAUGGCCCUUAUAUCCAGGGCUACACACGUACUACAAUGGCCGGUACAACAGGAUGCAAUACCGCAAGGUGGAGCCAACCCCUAAAACCGGUCUCAGUUCAGAUUGGAGUCUGCAACUCGACUCCAUGAAGGU